rnacentral:rRNA from 1 species
UGGGGAAUAUUGCACAAUGGGCGCAAGCCUGAUGCAGCCAUGCCGCGUGUGUGAAGAAGGCCUUCGGGUUGUAAAGCACUUUCAGCGGGGAGGAAGGCGAUAAGGUUAAUAACCUUGUCGAUUGACGUUACCCGCAGAAGAAGCACCGGCUAACUCCGUGCCAGCAGCCGCGGUAAUACGGAGGGUGCAAGCGUUAAUCGGAAUUACUGGGCGUAAAGCGCACGCAGGCGGUCUGUCAAGUCGGAUGUGAAAUCCCCGGGCUCAACCUGGGAACUGCAUUCGAAACUUGCAGGCUAGAGUCUUGUAGAGGGGGGUAGAAUUCCAGGUGUAGCGGUGAAAUGCGUAGAGAUCUGGAGGAAUACCGGUGGCGAAGGCGGCCCCCUGGACAAAGACUGACGCUCAGGUGCGAAAGCGUGGGGAGCAAACAGG